rnacentral:snRNA from 1 species
ACACCGUCACAGUUGCCUUUUGGCUUAGAUCUAGUGUGAAAUUAGUUCUUUCCAGUUUAACACCUGCAAGGGUUACUAAAGUAGCUCAUAUGCAAUGUUAAUAUUUUUCGAUUCAGUCCUCCUCUCACUGAGCUUGCUCAUAGUCGAGGACACAGUGACGCUGGCCCUUGCAUUACUGCCGGCUGUCGCGACUCUUU